rnacentral:rRNA from 1 species
UGGGGAAUUUUGCGCAAUGGGCUAACGCCUGACGCAGCAACGCCGCGUGGAGGAUGAAGGUCCUUGGAUUGUAAACUCCUGUCAGCAGGGAAAAAGCGAGCCGACCUAAUACGUCGGUGAGUUGAUUGUACCUGCAGAGGAAGCCCCGGCUAACUCUGUGCCAGCAGCCGCGGUAAUACAGAGGGGGCAAGCGUUAUUCGGAAUUAUUGGGCGUAAAGGGCGCGUAGGCGGCUUGGCAAGUGGAAGGUGAAAUCCCUCGGCUUAACCGAGGAACUGCCUUCCAGACUGUUAGGCUUGAGACCGGGAGAGGUGAGUGGAAUUCCCAGUGUAGCGGUGAAAUGCGUAGAUAUUGGGAGGAACACCAGUGGCGAAGGCGGCUCACUGGACCGGUACUGACGCUGAGGCGCGAAAGCGUGGGGAGCAAACGG